rnacentral:sRNA from 1 species
GACAAAAAUCAGGAUUGUAGGACUUUGCAAAAUA